ensembl:piRNA 21ur-7112 ncRNA
UUGGUGAAGUUUCAAGUAGGU